rnacentral:rRNA from 1 species
AGGCAGCAGUAGGGAAUCUUCCACAAUGGGCGAAAGCCUGAUGGAGCAACGCCGCGUGAGUGAAGAAGGUUUUCGGAUCGUAAAGCUCUGUUGUUGGUGAAGAAGGAUAGAGGUAGUAACUGGCCCCUAUUUGACGGUAAUCAACCAGAAAGUCACGGCUAACUACGUGCC